GAUAAACGCUGGCGGCGUGCCUAAUACAUGCAAGUCGAGCGAACGGACGAGAAGCUUGCUUCUCUGAUGUUAGCGGCGGACGAGUGAGUAACACGUGGAUAACCUACCUAUAAGACUGGGAUAACUUCGGGAAACCGGAGCUAAUACCGGAUAAUAUUUUGAACCGCAUGGUUCAAAAGUGAAAGACGGUCUUGCUGUCACUUAUAGAUGGAUCCGCGCUGCAUUAGCUAGUUGGUAAGGUAACGGCUUACCAAGGCAACGAUGCAUAGCCGACCUGAGAGGGUGAUCGGCCACACUGGAACUGAGACACGGUCCAGACUCCUACGGGAGGCAGCAGUAGGGAAUCUUCCGCAAUGGGCGAAAGCCUGACGGAGCAACGCCGCGUGAGUGAUGAAGGUCUUCGGAUCGUAAAACUCUGUUAUUAGGGAAGAACAUAUGUGUAAGUAACUGUGCACAUCUUGACGGUACCUAAUCAGAAAGCCACGGCUAACUACGUGCCAGCAGCCGCGGUAAUACGUAGGUGGCAAGCGUUAUCCGGAAUUAUUGGGCGUAAAGCGCGCGUAGGCGGUUUUUUAAGUCUGAUGUGAAAGCCCACGGCUCAACCGUGGAGGGUCAUUGGAAACUGGAAAACUUGAGUGCAGAAGAGGAAAGUGGAAUUCCAUGUGUAGCGGUGAAAUGCGCAGAGAUAUGGAGGAACACCAGUGGCGAAGGCGACUUUCUGGUCUGUAACUGACGCUGAUGUGCGAAAGCGUGGGGAUCAAACAGGAUUAGAUACCCUGGUAGUCCACGCCGUAAACGAUGAGUGCUAAGUGUUAGGGGGUUUCCGCCCCUUAGUGCUGCAGCUAACGCAUUAAGCACUCCGCCUGGGGAGUACGACCGCAAGGUUGAAACUCAAAGGAAUUGACGGGGACCCGCACAAGCGGUGGAGCAUGUGGUUUAAUUCGAAGCAACGCGAAGAACCUUACCAAAUCUUGACAUCCUUUGACAACUCUAGAGAUAGAGCCUUCCCCUUCGGGGGACAAAGUGACAGGUGGUGCAUGGUUGUCGUCAGCUCGUGUCGUGAGACGUUGGGUUAAGUCCCGCAACGAGCGCAACCCUUAAGCUUAGUUGCCAUCAUUAAGUUGGGCACUCUAAGUUGACUGCCGGUGACAAACCGGAGGAAGGUGGGGAUGACGUCAAAUCAUCAUGCCCCUUAUGAUUUGGGCUACACACGUGCUACAAUGGACAAUACAAAGGGCAGCGAAACCGCGAGGUCAAGCAAAUCCCAUAAAGUUGUUCUCAGUUCGGAUUGUAGUCUGCAACUCGACUACAUGAAGCUGGAAUCGCUAGUAAUCGUAGAUCAGCAUGCUACGGUGAAUACGUUCCCGGGUCU
rnacentral:rRNA from 1 species